UACAGAGGUCUCAAGCGUUGUUCGGAUUCAUUGGGCGUAAAGGGUGCGUAGGUGGCGGGGGUAAGUCUGGUGUGAAAUCUCGGGGCUCAACCCCGAAACUGCACUGGAUACUGCCUUGCUUGAGUACUGGAGAGGAGAUUGGAAUUUACGGUGUAGCAGUGAAAUGCGUAGAUAUCUGGAGGAACACCGGUGGCGAAGGCGGCAUCCUGGACCGAACACUGACGCUGAGGAGCGAAAGCCAGGGGAGCAAACGGG
rnacentral:rRNA from 1 species